rnacentral:snRNA from 1 species
AUAUCUUCUUGGCCUUUUGGCUAAGAUCAAGUGUAGUAUUUGUUCUUAUCAUUGCAGUAAAUUGUUUAGAAAGUUAAAUUGAAAGAAGAAACUAGCCAUGUUAGGUUCCAUUAUAAGAGAGCUAAUGGCAAUACAGCCCAAUUCAAUAAAACAAUU